rnacentral:rRNA from 1 species
UUGCUGCUUUGCUGACGAGUGGCGGACGGGUGAGUAAUGACUGGGAAACUGCCUGAUGGAGGGGGAUAACUACUGGAAACGGUAGCUAAUACCGCAUAACGUCGCAAGACCAAAGAGGGGGACCUUCGGGCCUCUUGCCAUCGGAUGUGCCCAGAUGGGAUUAGCUUGUUGGUGGGGUAACGGCUCACCAAGGCGACGAUCCCUAGCUGGUCUGAGAGGAUGACCAGCCACACUGGAACUGAGACACGGUCCAGACUCCUACGGGAGGCAGCAGUGGGGAAUAUUGCACAAUGGGCGCAAGCCUGAUGCAGCCAUGCCGCGUGUAUGAAGAAGGCCUUCGGGUUGUAAAGUACUUUCAGCAGGGAGGAAGGGAGUAAAGUUAAUACCUUUACUCAUUGACGUUACCCGCAGAAGAAGCACCGGCUAACUCCGUGCCAGCAGCCGCGGUAAUACGGAGGGUGCAAGCGUUAAUCGGAAUUACUGGGCGUAAAGCGCACGCAGGCGGUUUGUUAAGUCAGAUGUGAAAUCCCCGGGCUCAACCUGGGAACUGCAUCUGAUACUGGCAAGCUUGAGUCUCGUAGAGGGGGGUAGAAUUCCAGGUGUAGCGGUGAAAUGCGUAGAGAUCUGGAGGAAUACCGGUGGCGAAGGCGGC